rnacentral:tRNA from 1 species
GCCGCGGUCGCAUAACCUGGUAUUGCGCUGGCCUUGAGAGCCAGUGCCCUUCGGGGCGUGUGGGUUCGAAUCCCACCCGCGGCG